rnacentral:rRNA from 1 species
UUUACAAUGGAGAGUUUGAUCCUGGCUCAGGAUGAACGCUAGCGGCAGGCUUAAUACAUGCAAGUCGAGGGGCAGCAGGGGUGUAGCAAUACACUCGCUGGCGACCGGCAAACGGG